UAUUGAAAGUGAAGGAAGAAGGUGUGUGGCUGAGACUCCCUGAACAAACCACCUAUCAAGCAACUGGUCUUUGAGGAUCCACUGUCUGAGGUGUCACAUAGAUAAUGGAUGAAUUCAACCUGGCUAACAACUUAAAGAGAUUGAACUGCUUGCCAGCCAUAAGGAGGAAGGAAGGAGAGAGACUACAUGAAUCAUAUAACUUCAGAAAACUUAUGUAGACAUUUAUUAAAAAUU
rnacentral:lncRNA from 1 species